CCAAGCACGGUGCCUAACAGACCCAAAAACGUUAGUUGUAUUAACAACUGUGUGAAAUACACAUUCAGGCAUCCAGACUCUGAACUCCUUAAGGACUCUGCCUGACACUGAGGCAGGGCUCAGAGAAUGUUCAUCUGAAUGAAGGGAUCCUAGCCUCAUCCCUGCAUCCUGGGGUUCCCAGUCUGGCUGGGGAGACAGAAUGAACAAACAAAACAUAUCAAGAACUGAGUAUGACCAGGAGGUUCACAGCCCUGUGUGUUUCAAACAGAGGCAUUCCCACGAUGGACAAAGAGAGCUCUAAGAGAGGAUGCGGUGGUCAGAGCGGGGAACUGGAGCGGAGAUGUAAAUUCUGGAUUGUUCUUCUCAGAUGUGGGAAGAAUUCUCGCCUUCCACCGCCCCUGACUUUCAUUUGGUCCAAAAAUAAGGAUAUCAUCUUUUCAAAGCUCUUACAAGGACAAUGUAUAUCCAAGAGGAACCCAGCAUAGAUUGAGGUCUUUGCCAGGCCAGUUGUUAGGCUGGGCCACAGCCUGAAGCAAGAGGAGGUACCCAGAGGAUCUGACAUUGCUCUGAAACUUAAUUCGAGUUACCCCCACUACGGGCUAGGGACCAGAUUAUGGGGCUCUUAGGAAAGUGUUUCUCCUCCUCAACAUGGAUUUACACUAUACUGUUGCUGAGAAUAAACAGUUGUGUUUUGUGUGC